CUGAACUUUGGAGAAUCACUAUUUUUACUUAGGUACUUGAUUCUUAAAUGGCUAUGACAUGGAUUUACUUAAUCGCUGGAGUAAUAUGCAGUUGAGAUAAUCACUGGCAAAUGUAUUUUUGCAUCAGUCAGUAUGUUUACAUGCCCAC